UAGGCUGACGCCAAGGUACCUGAUGUACAAGCAGGGCACGAGAAGACAAUCACCACAAUUCUUCCCGCUCUGUCUGGUGCUAACACCAUUUAUGGUGCAG
rfam:Candidatus Methanomassiliicoccus intestinalis Issoire-Mx1, complete genome.